rnacentral:rRNA from 1 species
GAUGAACGCUGGCGGCGUGCCUAAUACAUGCAAGUCGAGCGAACAGACGAGGAGCUUACUCCUCUGACGUUAGCGGCGGACGGGUGAGUAACACGUGGAUAACCUACCUAUAAGACUGGGAUAACUUCGGGAAACCGGAGCUAAUACCGGAUAACAUGUUGAACCGCAUGGUGCAACAGUGAAAGACGGUGUUGCGGUCCGGUGUGGAUGGAUCCUCGGCGCAUUAGCUUGUUGGUAGGGUAACGGCUUACCAAGGCAAUGACGCGUAGCCGGCAUGAGAGGGUGACCGGCCACAUUGGGACUGAGGUACGGCCCAGACUCCUACGGGAGGCAGCAGUGGGGAAUAUUGCACAAUGGGCGGAAGCCUGAUGCAGCACCGCCGCGUGCGGGAUGACGGCCUUCGGGUUGUAAACCGCUUUCGCCUGUGACGAAGCGUGAGUGACGGUAAUGGGUAAAGAAGCACCGGCUAACUACGUG